rnacentral:rRNA from 1 species
AACGAACGCUGGCGGCGUGCCUAAUACAUGCAAGUCGAGCGGACAGAAGGGAGCUUGCUCCCGGAAGUUAGCGGCGGACAGGUGAGUAACACGUGGGCAACCUACCCUGUAGAUCGGGAUAACAUCGAGAAAUCGGUGCUAAUACCGGAUAAUCAUUUGAAGUGCAUGCUUCGAAUGUAAAAGAUGGCUCCGGCUAUCACUACGGGAUGGGCCCGCGGCGCAUUAGCUAGUUGGUAAGGUAAUGGCUUACCAAGGCAACGAUGCGUAGCCGACCUGAGAGGGUGACCGGCCACACUGGGACUGAGACACGGCCCAGACUCCUACGGGAGGCAGCAGUAGGGAAUCUUCCGCAAUGGACGAAAGUCUGACGGAGCAACGCCGCGUGAGUGAUGAAGGUUUUCGGAUCGUAAAGCUCUGUUGUUAGGGAAGAACAAGUGCCGUUUGAAUAAGGCGGCACCUUGACGGUACCUACCAGAAAGCCACGGCUAACUACGUGCCAGCAGCCGCCGUAACAC